GAUGAAGAACGCAGCGAAAUGCGAUAAGUAGUGUGAAUUGCAGAAUUCAGUGAAUCAUCGAAUCUUUGAACGCACAUUGCGCCCCUUGGUAUCCCGAGGGGCAUGCCUGUUCGAGCGUCAUUUCACCACUCAAGCCUGGCUUGGUGUUGGGCGACGUCCCCUUUGGGGACGCGCCUCGAAACGCUCGGCGGCGUGGCACCGGCUUUAAGCGUAGCAGAAUCUUUCGCUUUGGAAGUCGGGGCCCCGUCUGCCGGAAGACCUACUCGCAAGGUUGACCUCGGAUCAGGCAGGGAUACCAGCUGAACUUAAGCAUAUCAAUAAGCGGAGGA
rnacentral:misc_RNA from 1 species